rnacentral:rRNA from 1 species
CUUCCCUUGACUCUGGGAUAAGCCCGGGAAACUGGGUCUAAUACCGGAUACGACCAGUCCUCGCAUGGGGUGCUGGUGGAAAGAUUUAUCGGUCUUGGAUGGACUCGCGGCCUAUCAGCUUGUUGGUGAGGUAAUGGCUCACCAAGGCGAUGACGGGUAGCCGGCCUGAGAGGGUGACCGGCCACACUGGGACUGAGACACGGCCCAGACUCCUACGGGAGGCAGCAGUGGGGAAUAUUGCACAAUGGGCGAAAGCCUGAUGCAGCGACGCCGCGUGCGGGAUGACGGCCUUCGGGUUGUAAACCGCUUUCAGCAGGGAAGAAGCGAAAGUGACGGUACCUGCAGAAGAAGCGCCGGCUAACUACGUGCCAGCAGCCGCGGUAAUACGUAGGGCGCGAGCGUUAUCCGGAAUUAUUGGGCGUAAAGAGCUCGUAGGCGGUUUGUCACGUCUGCUGUGAAAGCCCGGGGCUCAACCCCGGGUGUGCAGUGGGUACGGGCAGACUAGAGUGCAGUAGGGGAGACUGGAAUUCCUGGUGUAGCGGUGAAAUGCGCAGAUAUCAGGAGGAACACCGAUGGCGAAGGCAGGUCUCUGGGCUGUUACUGACGCUGAGGAGCGAAAGCAUGGGGAGCGAACAGGAUUAGAUACCCUGGUAGUCCAUGCCGUAAACGUUGGGCACUAGGUGUGGGGGACAUUCCACGUUUUCCGCGCCGUAGCUAACGCAUUAAGUGCCCCGCCUGGGGAGUACGGCCGCAAGGCUAAAACUCAAAGGAAUUGACGGGGGCCCGCACAAGCGGCGGAGCAUGCGGAUUAAUUCGAUGCAACGCGAAGAACCUUACCAAGGCUUGACAUGGACCGGACCGCUGCAGAGAUGCAGCUUCCCUUCGGGGUCGGUUCACAGGUGGUGCAUGGUUGUCGUCAGCUCGUGUCGUGAGAUGUUGGGGUUAAGUCCCGCAACGAGCGCAACCCCCUAUCCUAUGUUGGCCAGCACGUU